rnacentral:rRNA from 1 species
AACGUAGGGGGCGAGCGUUAUCCGGAAUCAUUGGGCGUAAAGAGCGUGUAGGCGGCUAGGUAGGUCCGUUGUGAAAACUCGAGGCUCAACCUCGAGACGCCGAUGGAAACCAUCUGGCUAGAGUCCGGAAGAGGAGAGUGGAAUUCCUGGUGUAGCGGUGAAAUGCGCAGAUAUCAGGAAGAACACCCGUGGCUAAGGCGGCUCUCUAGUACGGUACUGACGCUGAGACGCGAAAGCGUGGGGAGCGAACAGG